CAGUACAAGACUCGUCGACCGGCUCAGUCCGAGGUCUCCCGACUGACUCUCUCUCCGUCAGGCCCUCAGGUCGUGUCCCGAACUCAGUGUUCUCUUGGUCGUCGGUGAGAGAGGUUGUGUGUCUUCACCGCUCGGGGAGGAAUUCCCUCGGCCCACUGCUACAACUCCAUUAAAAGCUUGAUUUGCAAAUCAGAGAUAAUAAGAUAGAGCCCGCGAGUGCUUUUGGACCUUUAUAUAGGUAAGAGUGAUCGUUGGAAUUAUAUAAAUGUUAUAUAUAUAUAUAUACAUAUAUAUAUUUAUCCGGAAGUUGAUAUAUCUGUGAAAGGCUGGAAUCUGUAGUAGGAUUUCGCGACGACAUCGCGACGACAGUCUCGUUGCAAGCGAAAUAAAGCGGCAGAGACAAUAAUUGCCCUUUGCAACGAAGGCGGUCCAUUGUGUGAUGUGGCUCUUCCUCCGGAAGGCUUUGAUGUGGCCACGGCAGUAAACAAAAGAUCGUAGGAAUCUUCAUCGGGUGAUAACCACGCCCAGUUGUUGAUCUCCGCGGCACCGCCAUUUUGGUACUCUGAAAGCCCUUUGGACAACUGCAUUGCCAGAUCAAGGCUGCAGUCUCUGUUCAAUAACCCAGG